CCUACGGGUGGCAGCAGUGAGGAAUAUUGGUCAAUGGGCGCGAGCCUGAACCAGCCAAGUCGCGUGAGGGAAGACGGUCCUAUGGAUUGUAAACCUCUUUUGUCGGGGAGCAAAAGACGCCACGCGUGGCGUUCCGAGAGUACCCGAAGAAAAAGCAUCGGCUAACUCCGUGCCAGCAGCCGCGGUAAUACGGAGGAUGCGAGCGUUAUCCGGAUUUAUUGGGUUUAAAGGGUGCGCAGGCGGAAGAUCAAGUCAGCGGUAAAAUUGAGAGGCUCAACCUCUUCGAGCCGUUGAAACUGGUUGUCUUGAGUGAGUGAGGAGUAUGCGGAAUGCGUGGUGUAGCGGUGAAAUGCAUAGAUAUCACGCAGAACUCCGAUUGCGAAGGCAGCAUACCGGCGCGCAACUGACGCUCAUGCACGAAAGUGUGGGUAUCGAACAGGAUUAGAUACCCCGAUAGUC
rnacentral:rRNA from 1 species